UUUUAAAAUGUAUUCCACUACAGAUUACAGAAUACAUGCCCCAAAAUGUAUUUUCUAACGUAUUCCGUUACGUUACUCAAUAACAGUAACGUAUUCGGAAUACUUUGGAUUACCUAUUAUAUUAUCAUGCUUUUUACAACUACAUGAAUGUACUAUUGCUGUGUGAAUUAUUACUAUUACCGAAGGAUACCUGCCAUACCAAUACCAACUAGAUUUAAAUCUUAAUAUAAAAUAAGUAACAGUAGGGUGGACAUUAGGUAAGGCUGCACUUUUUGCAGCGAUCUCGUAUUGAAAACUAUUCCACGCGUAUAGAAAACAGGUCCGCGGCUCCGAAGUCCGAAUUGUAGUAAAGGGACCUCUGGCUAAUACGUCGGGUUCGUGUCGGGCUCGUAGCCAAAAACUAGCUUUACUUUGUUGUCUGGGUGAACUUUGCUAGCGAGAGACAGAGAGAGGCGUUGAAAGGCUGCUCCAACGGAACUUAUUGUUUCGGAGGAAAACAUGAACACAGUGUACAGUCGAGUCUUAAUAGCUUACUUACAACUGGACUCGUCAGAUAUUCUUUUUGGCUGCAGUGGUUAUUAUUAUAUUUACAUGCUUCCAUCUCCCACUUCUGCUCAGUGACAUCUCUUACUUUUCGACUCUCCUUUUUCUUCCUCCCUGGCGCUCACAGACACAUAACGGGUAUGGCAGUCCAUUCUCCCUGCAGCACAGACUACACUGCCCAUGAGGCUACAUUCUUUGGGACUAUGCCUGUAACACUCAUAUUAAAUAAUUUUUGUGAAUAACUUUUUAAAAAUAUUUCUUCACAUCAUUAUGCAGGCCGCAAGUAGGGGUGACAUGGGCCGCGGGAUUGAGACACAGGCAUUAGAGCCUUUUAAUGCGUGUUUUGCUUGGGGUGUGGAAACCAAAAAUAGAGAGGGCAUAGCUGAACAUAUGAUACAGGAAAAUACUGCCAUGUAAGCCCUUUAUUUCAGCAAAGUAACUGUAUUCUGAAUACCACCUUUUUAAACGGUAACUGUAACGGAAUACAGUUACUCGCAUUUUGUAUUUUAAAUACGUAACGGCGGUACAUGUAUUCCGUUACUCCCCAACACUG
ensembl:lncRNA